AUUUAUAUAAUAUAAAAAUUAUAUUUGACUUCCAAUCAAAAAAUCUAGACCUUCUAGUAUAAAUA
rnacentral:tRNA from 1 species